AGUCCAUGAUGCGGGCAGAGUCUUAGCAUAUCCUUGUAUCUUUCCCAAGCUUCGAAAAGUGAUUCAUUGUCUUUUUGAGUAAAUCCGUUGAUUUUGGCCUCUCAGCAU